rnacentral:rRNA from 1 species
UACGUAGGGGGCGAGCGUUGUCCGGAUUUAUUGGGCGUAAAGAGCGUGUAGGCGGUUCGGUAAGUCUGUCGUGAAAUCCUGAGGCUCAACCUCGGGCGUGCGAUGGAUACUGCGGGUCUCGAGUCCGGGAGAGGUGAGUGGAAUUCCUAGUGUAGAGGUGAAAUUCGUAGAUAUUAGGAAGAACACCAGUGGCGAAGGCGGCUCACUGGCCCGGUACUGACGCUGAGGCGCGAAAGGCGUGGGGAGCAAACAGG